rnacentral:lncRNA from 1 species
AAAAGAAAGCUUCAAAACUCUUUAAACAUUUCACUAGAACUCAUUUCUAGGUCAUUCAAACCCAUUUUAGGGUUCUAUCAAGAUUAGGGUUCAAAGCUUACCUUGUAAGCUCUCCUUUCUUGCCCUAGAGAGGAAGAAGAUGAAACCCCUUUUGCUCUUUAAUCUUCUUCUUCACUUUCCUCUUCUUCUUUUCCUUCUUUUCCUUGUCUUCUUCUUCUCCUUCUUUGUCUUCUAGAGAGAGAAAGAGAGGAGAG